CCUACGGGAGGCAGCAGUGAGGAAUAUUGGUCAAUGGACGAGAGUCUGAACCAGCCAAGUAGCGUGAAGGAUGACUGCCCUAUGGGUUGUAAACUUCUUUUAUAAAGGAAUAAAACGAGGCACGUGUGCCUUUUUGCAUGUACUUUAUGAAUAAGGAUCGGCUAACUCCGUGCCAGCAGCCGCGGUAAUACGGAGGGUCCGAGCGUUCUCCGGAUUUAUUGGGUUUAAAGGGAGCGUAGAUGGGUUGUUAAGUCAGUUGUGAAAGUUUGCGGCUCAACCGUAAAAUUGCCAUUGAUACUGGCAGGCUGGAGUACAGUUGAGGUAGGCGGAAUGCGUGGUGUAGCGGUGAAAUGCUUAGAUAUCACGAAGAACCCCGAUUGCGAAGGCAGCUUACUAAACUGUGACUGACAUUGAUGCUCGAAAGUGUGGGUAUCAAACAGGAUUAGAUACCCGAGUAGUC
rnacentral:rRNA from 1 species